GCUCAACCGAGGAAGUGCUUCGAAAACUGGUAAACUUGAGUGCAGAAGAGGAAAGUGGAACUCCAUGUGUAGCGGUGGAAUGCGUAGAUAUAUGGAAGAACACCAGUGGCGAAGGCGGCUUUCUGGUCUGUAACUGACGCUGAGAUUCGAAAGCAUGGGUAGCAAACAGGAUUAGAUACCCUGGUAGUCCAUGCCGUAAACGAUGAGUGCUAAGUGUUGGAGGGUUUCCGCCCUUCAGUGCUGCAGCUAACGCAUUAAGCACUCCGCCUGGGGAGUACGACCGCAAGGUUGAAACUCAAAGGAAUUGACGGGGGCCCGCACAAGCGGUGGAGCAUGUGGUUUAAUUCGAAGCAACGCGAAGAACCUUACCAGGUCUUGACAUACCAUGAAAAGCUUAGAGAUAAGUCUUUCCCUUCGGGGACAUGGAUACAGGUGGUGCAUGGUUGUCGUCAGCUCGUGUCGUGAGAUGUUGGGUUAAGUCCCGCAACGAGCGCAACCCUUAUUAUCAGUUGCCAGCAUUCAGUUGGGCACUCUGGUGAGACUGCCGGUGACAAACCGGAGGAAGGUGGGGACGACGUCAAAUCAUCAUGCCCCUUAUGACCUGGGCUACACACGUGCUACAAUGGCCGGUACAACG
rnacentral:rRNA from 1 species